UACGAGUGGUGCAAGCGUUAUUCGGAAUUAUUGGGCGUACAGGGUGCGCAGGCGGUAUAUUAAGUCAAUUGUUAAAGACCUCGGCCUAACUGAGGAAAUGCGGUAGAUACUGGUAUACUAGAGGUUGGAAGAGAGAAGUGGAAUUCUUGGAGUAGCGGUAAAAUGCGUAGAUCUCAAGAGGAACACCGAUGGCGAAGGCAGCUUCUUGGUCCAUACCUGACGCUCAUGCACGAAAGCGUGGGGAGCAAACAGG
rnacentral:rRNA from 1 species